rnacentral:tRNA from 1 species
GCAGUUGUAGAUUAAUGUAAAUCUUUGCUCUUCCAAAGCACACGAUGUGGGUUCAAGUCCCACCAACUGCA